rnacentral:rRNA from 1 species
GACGAACGCUGGCGGCGUGCCUAAUACAUGCAAGUAGAACGCAGUUGCGAACGGGUGAGUAACGCGUAGGUAACUGCCUGGUAGCGGGGGAUAACUAUUGGAAACGAUAGCUAAUACCGCAUACUACCAGAUGGACCUGCGUUGUAUUAGCUAGUUGGUGAGGUAACGGCUCACCAAGGCAACGAUACAUAGCCGACCGUGGAGGGUGAUCGGCCACAAUGGGACUGAUGCACGGCCCAGACUUCUACGGGAGUCAGCAGUAGGGAAUCUGCGGCAAAGGGGGGAACCCUGACCGAGCCACGCCGCUUGAGUGAAGAAGGGUUUCGGAUCGGAAAGCUCUGUUGUUAAGGAAGCGGUACUUAACCAGAAAGCGACGGCUAACUACGUGCCAGCCGCCGCGGUAAUUC